CAAAACCGCUCUGACUUCCGGCCGCCUUCUCCCGGAGUCCGCCCCUCCUGGGACGGUUCAUUGGACCCGCCCCCAGGCGCUCUAUUGCUUCGAGGAAAACGAGACCCAAUCAGGGAAAUAAAGUCUGUGGGGAAAAUAAACCCAAAUGAGAAGAAAUCAACUUGGACAAGGAGGACCAAACCCUGGGGGAAGAAAACCUAGUCAUGGGGAAAAUGAGUCCCAGGGAGGGAAAGAAAGCCAGCUUGGAGGGAAUGCAUCGUGUAUGAGUCCAUCCAUUUCUCACAGAGGGAAGGAGAGUUCCGGGCUGGGGGAAGAGCAGAAACGAAGGUGGCCAGGUAUGAAUGUGAGUUUGGGAGGAGUGAAUCAGACUAGGGAGAAGCCCAGGGCUGCUUUCUCCCCAUAAGGAGAACAAGAUUUACCUGGGAGAGUUUCUUAGCCUCUGGCAACUUCUCUCUCCUGGUGGAGAGUUUGCCUCCAGCACUCAGGCUCUCUCUAGAACCCUGGAAACUGAGGCAAACAGGAUGAAGUGACUUGUCCAGGAGCACAUAGUAAGUGCCUGAGGCCAGAUUUGAACACAGCCGGUCUCCCUGUGCACUAUGGCGCCACCUAGAGUUCCCUUCCUCUCCUCCACCUCAAGUUCCCUCAAUCUUUUGUUUCAAAUUUCAGCCAUUAUUAUGUAUCUGUAGUUGGCAA